CAGUGGGUCGCCCUUUUAGAACCCCCCACGUGCUUGUCUCUGGCAGGUGUCACCUGACGUGCGUCACUCUGACCUCCAGUGGAGGGGUGUCUGUGACGCAGGUACCUAGCGGCUGCCUCUGCAUGGUGUGCUGAGUCACGGCACACGUGACGCGGAGGUGGCCGUGCGGGGCGUGCAGAUGCAGACACGGAGCCCGUGUUGACAGAGUUGAGGGCGGGCUCCAAUGCAGCACCAAACAAGGCAGCGUAGGUGAGGAAACCACAGAGCGGGCUGCAGGGCUGCCCACCCCUCCCUCCACAGGUAGGUGUGUGUGCGCGCACACGUGAGCGCCGUGUGCGCUGAGGCCCCCGUAGGCAGGCUGUCUCACACAUCUCUGCCACGUGUGCUACCAGAGGAAGCAUGUUAGAAGCACGUAAUUGAGAGAACUUUACUUCAUUUCAGGAAGAGGCAAAACAGACUGGAUCUCUACUUAAGACUCAUGUGAAGAAAGGUAUUUUUUUUUUUAUUAAUCAUUUUUAGAGAGAGAGAGUGCACGCACAAGCGGGACGGGCAGGGGGAGAAGGCGAGGGAAUCCCAAGCAGACUCUGUGCUGGGCGUGGAGUCCAGUGUGGGGCUCAGUCUCACAACCUGAGAUACCGACCCAAGCUCAGACCGAGAGUCGGAUGCUUAACUGACCAUCCACCCCGGUGCCCCAGGAAAGGUAUUUUUUAAAUAGAUGUUUAUGAACAUGACCUCAGGCUCCACAGUGGUUAAGAUCAUUGCCUGGCCUUUGCCCAGGACACUUCAUGACCACCCGUGCUGCUUUAGAACUUCUGGGUCUUCCUUGUUACAGUGAGGGAUUUCUAGUUCUCAGGAUAGAGUCCAAACAUACGCCAAGUGAAAGAAAUAGAAACACCCAGAGAGAAAACUCUGUCUUCGUGUUGGUUCUCUUGCGAUUUCUAAUAAACUACCAAUGUUUUCUGUAAAUCUGUAGAUUACUUAGUGGGGAGUAUGGCCCCAAAGCUCAUUCUAGCAAAGUGUAAAACUGGACCCUGAUAGUUACUCCAUCUGUCCCCUUUGCUCUCCUCCCUCACCUACAUUAGCUGUCGGGGCAUUGAGUCAGAAGUGCCGUUUCAGGGUGUGUGGAGCUGUGUGCGAGGUGGGAGUCCAGGACUCACGGUGCAGCAGACCCGAGGUCCUCCUGGGAAGUCCUGGGUGUCCCCCUUUCUCAGAAGCCGCAGAGCCUGCACUGGGGAGAAGACCCUGGUCUCUGUGUCGCAGUGCCAGGCGCUGCUCACGUCCUUGGGCCGAGAGGGAAGGCUCCCCUAGAGGCAGCAUCUCAGAAAGGCUGCUCUCCCUGAAGUUCUCCUUUGUGUUGACAGCCGCUCUUUAGCCUUGCAGAGAAGUGUUGACCACGAGCCCCGUUAUCCUGGAGAAACCUGUGACCCUCACUCCGGGUUUUUCUAACUUGGAGUGGGCAGCCCUUAAGCGUGUUUUAAAAAGACUGGAACAAGAGGGACUUGGAGGAGGAGGGUUGACGUGCAAGUCUUAGCAGUUCUGAAUGGAGGCGCAGAGCCCAGCCGCUCAGAACUCAGAAUCCCCCCUGUGGGCUGACUUCGUGCAGAUGCACGCUCUCCCACGGAGCAUCCAGUCCAGGAGACGGCCACACACGUGUGCCUUUGCUGCAUUGUGGGGAAGGUGUGGUGGUUUGGGGGACAUGGCUGUUCCACUGUCACCAGCAGUAUUUGCCUCCUGAGACCUUGUGUAGGAAGGUCACCUUCACGGACCUCCCCUUUUGAUUGCCCCUCACGAGGCUCUGGGAGGGAGACACUUUUGUCGGUUUAUUGACUUCACUUGGGUGGGGUUUCUGUCUUCUAGGAAGGGUGCCGAGUACAGCCCUGGACCAGUAAAGAUGGGGCAUCUGCUCGGGGGGGGUCAGUGCACACUGGCAGGACUCUGGGGACGGGGGCACGGGUCCUUCACGUACGAGGGGAACAGAGGGAAGGGGGGCGGAGGAGGGUCAGCUGUGUGUUGGGGUUCCGACACCUGGCUUGGGAGGUAUCCUGAGGACAUGGGAGGGGAAUACCUGACUAGCGAUGGCUGCAGGGGGGGCGGGGGGGCUGGCGAUUCAGUUGCUUCCGAGUUGGCAUUUGGUCCAAGAAGCAGAGAAGCGCUGGAAGCCAGGUCUGCAACCUGGAUACCGGGGCCUCCGGGGAAGCGAUGGGUUUAGGACGUGAACCACUGAUAAAACACGACACUCCGUGAACGUGCAAAUUUUCAAGGGCGAGCAUGAUGUCCCAGAAGGAAAGUGGCACAUGGUUAGUUAAGUUGGGAGGUGAGGCGGAGUGGCGUGGGGGCGGGGGGCAGGCUCCCCCGUGUGUGCGUGCACGGCGCUCUUGAGGCUGAGUGUGGGGCCCUGACGUUCUUAAGCUCUCAGUAAGUUUUGGCCAGUGGUCCUUUUAGCAUGAAAGCACCUUAUCUCUGAAACUAUUUGGCUAUUUGUAGGUGGCUUUCCUUGUGGUUUUCUGUCUGUGAGCAGGGGGGGACCUCGGGUUGAGGGAGAUCGAGGGGGCCAGGGACAUGAGUUGGGAUAGAAACCUUGUUAAACUAACCGUAAACUAACUGGUGAAGCUAGACUGGGCUGGUUACCAGUUCCUGUGAGGGUUAUCUACCUGUAGUACGGGGAAUCCAGGGUUACCCUGCGGACAGCCGGAGACAUCCGCUUUCCCUCUGGCGAGGGACACCCUCUGUUUUACACAGAAGAGCAGUGUUGGGAGAGGGUCCCCGUAGCAGAUGAAGUGCAAUCCGUGGGCCCCAGCGUGUCUUACAGGGCUGUGCAGCUGCCGCCACGGCAGAUUUGAGCACUGUUUUAAUCCUAUUUUAUUGAAGUUCACUUAAUUAACAUAGUGUAUCCUUAGUUUCAGGGGUAGAGCAGUGAAUCGUCAGUUGUAUACAACACCCAGAGUUCAUUCCAUCACAAGCCCACUUCCGUGCCCGUCACUCCGUUCCCCACCCCGCCUGAAAACCCCCUGCCCCCUGCAACCCUGGUCUACCUUCUGUCUCUGAGUUUGCCUCUCGCACCCGUUUCCUACACACGGAGCCCUGCAACGCGUGGUGUCUUCCGGAGCGGGCUCCCCCAGCGUGUUUUUGAGGCUCACCCGUGUUGUGGCGAGGAGCAAGCUGUCUGUUUUUAAAUGUAAUUUUUUUCCUCUUAACCUUUUUUCUUCCUUUGCCUUGGAGUUAUUUUGAAUACAGAGCAGCCUUAAACUUGGUGUUUCGCCCUGUGGGCUUCAGCGCAGCUCCCACAGUAGACGUCGGGAGUUUUUCUCCUUUUCCCUGCGGGGGCCGUGUACCAGGCUGGAGCUGCCCUGGGCCCCCCUCGCUGAGGGAGCACAGUCUGCAGCCGAGCCCUCAGCCUGCCUGGAGGACCCUCGCUGAAACGAGAACAUUGCUCCUUCUCCAUGCACGAACGGCCCGGCUGGGACCUCAUGCCCAGGAUCACUGGGCCCCGUGGGGGGGUCUCCAAGGGGAGGGCCGCGGUGUCUCCAUGAGGUGUGAUAGGGAGCCCAUUUCAGACCUUCCACUAGAUCAUUGCUUUGUGAACUACAAAAUCACUUAAGAUCACUUGUCUUAAAAAGCAAGUAACUAUAUGUUUAAGUAAUAGUGGCAUUUUUAAUACGAGAGACCAGUUUGCUCCUUAAAUGCUGAUUGGAAACCGCGGAGAACUAACACUUUCCGGGAUCCUGACUUUGCAGUUAGGAGUGAGCCUGUAUCCAGCAUAUUUUUCUAAUUUUUCUCCAUCUUUUGUACUCACCUUUGGGGUUUAGCUUCUUUUAAACCACAUGCUCAUUUGCAUCCUCUGGCUGCACAGUCCUUAGGCCUCGAGCUACUGUACGUGUGCUGGUGACCCCGAGCAACCUGGGUGUGACCUGCAGGGGCCACUGCUGCUCGGUUCUGUGGCCCAGUACAGCCCUAAGAACACAGCAUGUGAUGUGUAGGAGCUGUCUUAGUGCACUGGGGGUGUUACCCGCAAGGUUUCUGGUCAGCAGUGGGCGCUCAAGUUUCUGGAGAGUCAGUCAUCCUUGGAUUUUCGCCUGCAGGGGGCACGCCUCACCCCGGUGUUGGUCAAGGGUUGGCUGUAUGUAUACCUGGUUCUUCCUGGUGCACUUUUUCUUGUGUUGGGGUAAAAUCUGAAAAUAAAAAUGAUUUCUAAGAUUGUAGAUCUCCACAGCCUCCCGACCUCUGUCCUGGGUCUGAGGCCCUGUUCAGCUGUAGGGCCACUAGCCUUUUCCUAUCGUUCGGGUCUCCCUGGGCCCUUGCUUCAAGCUUAGUGUUCCUUCUCCUGCUGUGCUCGGUGGGGUCGGGGUGGCUGCCAGGCUGCUGGUCCUGUUGUGGGAACGGUUCCUGCAGCCCAAGCCCGUACUCUCUUACCUGCCCCCGACGGGCUCACCAUGCUGGAGGCGCUCGGGCGCUCUCUUCGCUUCUGCUGUGUCGGACCUCAUCUCAUUUCACGCCGGUUGGCAGCUACGUUUUUAAGUAGUUUUUGAGAACAGUGUUUAUCAAUUUAACAAAUGAGUGUGUUCCUAAGUUCAACACUGAUUUCUAGAGAAACUCUGAUCUAGUUUUGCUGAUAUUUAAGCUUUCAGGUCUUAGGAAAGCACUCGUGCUUAAAAUAUAGACCCUGGCCUUAAGAUACUCCAGAGGAGGCAGACGAGCCGCCGUCGUGUCGCAUCUGGGGAGAUGCCGGACGUUGAACAGAGAUGGUCGGCUGGCUGGGGUAGCUGCCAGGGGUCACCUGUGCAUCUGGGCGUAACAGCCACGCUCACCUCGCCCACGGCUUCGAGAGCUCGCCCAGGGCCAGGAACAGACGUGGUCUUCCCAGCCCAUGGCCUUGCAGAAGAUCCCAGGCUCCAAGCUGUUUGCUGUUUGCCUUUCUCAGUCUCCCGGAGUGUGCUAAGGGCUCUGUCAAGCUCCCACCCGCCCCCCGUGGACCGGUCCUCCCUCUGACGGCUGGUGGGCUGUGUUUGUCCUCUGUUGAAGACCUGCAGCAGCCCCAGGACGCCUGAGCCCACCUGCGCCCUGAAGCACUGGGCUCCGCCUCUCCAGCUGUCUUCUUUCCCUUAGGACGGGGAGGCAGGGGGACAGGAGUGCUGCCUGUGGAGGGAGACAGGACCCUGUGGGCUGUGGUGAGGCCACCGUGCACCGCUCCAGCCUUACAGCUUGCUGGCUUAAGAGCAGCCAUAAGAAAUCUCUUGUUUACAUACUCUUUAGUGCUUUGCCCUGAAAACACGGGCUGGGGGUGUGUGUCCUGUAUCCGUAAAGGUUAGGGGUGGCCCGGGUUCCCGCGUGUCCUCCUUUACUUGGGCCUUCCCUCUUUGCUCUCUGUUUGGUAGCACUUGGCGUGCUUCUUAGUGAUUCACAUGUGUGCUGUCCUUUGGCUUUUCUCCCCUGAAUCUAAACUCGGAGUUGGCGUGGUCUGUGGGACGUAGCCGGCACCGGGUGGUGGAAAUCAGGUGAGCUGCCAUGAGCUCUGAUGGGGGUGGGUGUGGUGGGCAUGUGGGAAUGCAUCCGCUUUCCAGGGCCGGGGAGUCUGCCCAGGCCUUGACCAGGAAGACAUGCAGGGCGUGAGGGGUGGGUUGAGCAGGAGGGCUCCAGGAAGGUGCCAGGCUGAGCGGGAGGGGUGGGUCUGAGUCCCAGCGGUCCUUACAAGCAACAGGCACAGCUUUCCCACCAGCCUUGGGGGCGGAGCGCCCACUGAGGGCAUGCUGAGUGGGGACGCUGCUCCAGCCGCGUCCACCUUGGUAUGGACUACGGCAUUUGGGGGCACGGAGUGUAGACACCACAUCAGGGCAUCAUCCUGCCCGUGCUGUGUCGCCAGGAGGGGCCCCCGUGGGGGUGGGAUCUGAGACGAGGAGCUUCGUCAGAGUGCCUUGGGGACACAGGUCAUGAAGAGUGGGAAAGAACUGUUGGCAGCUCCUUCUUCAGGGCAGGCCUGGCUCCUGCCCUGGCCCCAGAGCAGGUCUGAGCCACAUGUUCUGCCUCUGGAUGAAGGGCCUCUUCCUGGACGGCAGCCGUCUCUGUCCCAGCCCCACUCAGGGCACACCAGGCAUCACCAUUACACCCAAGAGUAAGAUUUCGAGGUCUUCAGAAGGAAAAGCCCCUGCUGGGCCAUGUUUCACGCAGUUCUGAGUGCAUCCCAGUUAGUGGGAGACGCUCAGUGACGCCCUUCUCUCUCCAGUGGCCUCUGCACAGCUUGGUUUUCUGCUAAUGGUGCAAAGCUGUCUGCUCCGCCUUGGCCACGGCCGCUCUCCCUGCUCGGUCUUCCCUUAAGAGGCUCCGGCUGCUAGCGCUGGUCCCCAUGAGGAGUCCUGUUGGGGGUGGGUGGGUUGGUUCACAGUGACCAUUGGCCGCUUGGAUGGGCUCCUCAUCCCCCUUCUGAGGCAGACAGGUUUGUCGUGCAGUAUGUGUUGUUUGGACAGUGUUGAAGCUGAGCUGGGGUCGGGGGGCCUUGGUGGGGUCAGGCAGGGACGGUUUCAGCUCAGUGACCACCCUGGGCUUUGUCUAGUUAUUGUGUCCUGUUCCUGCUUUUGGCUUACUUUUUUUUUUUCUUUUGUAAGAGUCUUACAUUUUGUGGUAAGAGAACUGUUUUUCUUUAAAUCACUGAGUCACUAGAAUUUCAGUGAGGAAGAGGGGUUGUUUUAUUUUUCCUCGUGCCUGUUGCAGUGAUGCCAGGCGUUGGGGAGCCGCAGACCACAGUCAGUGCCCUCCGGUGCCAGAGCGCUGCCCGCUGCCGUGGUGACGUCCAGCACAGGCGACCCGGCGUCCACCCCUGCUGCCGGGCUCAGCUCUCCUCUCCACAGGAGGCCCGGGUUUGUCCAGUCUUGAACCAUUUGUAUAGAAAAGACAUGGUGUUGCAGACUAGUUCAUAAUUUUUAAACUUUUUCUUAAAAAGAGUUUCAAAAAGGAAGUUCGUGUUCACUAAAAUUAUCUUCAUGCUCAGCUUUUUGUUUUGAGGUUAAAAUUUUUAUAAAAUUAAACAGUGGGAGUAGGUGUGUGUGUCUUGAAACAGACUGAGGGGGGAGCCCGGCCGGCUCAGUCAACGGAGCGCGUGACUCUUGAUCUCGGGGUCGAGACUUCAAGCCCCACGUUGGGCAUAUAGCCGACUUCAAAAACACACACAAAAAUUAAAAAUAUUUUUCCCACUGUAAUCUUACUUAUCCAGGCAAGUUAUUUUAAGAAGUGUUUUGUGAACAUUCUCACUAAUUUAAAUGAGUGCAGUGUUUUACCCUAUUUGGCAAGCGGCCGAAAGUCUGCUACAAUGUGCUAAAACUUAGUCUUGCUGGGCAGGGCAGUAUGAUGGACCCUUGUCAUCUGUUCACAAUAACCCAGGAGUGAGACCCUCCCUCUCGCCGAAGCCGGACGAGCCUCAGGCAAGGUCCUGAACUUUGAUCUCACUGCCCCCACCUCCAGCUGUCGGCCCCAGGAUCGAAGAAUUGUCUGGCCAGUACUUUUAAACCCCAUUCAGAGGGGCUUGUUUCCUUUGAAGAAAUGGGACGGCCUAACCCUCCCCUCCAGAGUCCCCUCAUGCUUUGCUCAGAUCCAUCGGAGGGGAGGGGAGGGGAGCAGAAGCUGCCAUGCCACGUAUGGGGCGGUCUGUCCUUGCGGGGUGCCAGGCACCGCCCAGAAGCAUCUUCCAAGCAGCACGGCUUGCAGAGUGCCAGGUUAGGCAGAUCAGGCCGCCUCUUUAUGCGCCCACCCCAAAUGGGAUCAAUCAGAUGGUGGGAGCUGCCCCCCUGAGGCUGGGAGCUGCGGCGGCCCAGGUGUGGGGCGAGCGCCGCGCAGGUGUCUGUCUGCUGCCUCUCUGAGCGAUGCUGCCACUUGGGCUUGCACGCCCUGGGAGCCGAGGCUGGUGGUGCUGCUGCUGGCACACGCACACAACGUGAUUGCAAAUGCAAAUGUCUUUCCAACACGUUCUCUGCUGAUUUUAGCCCCACAAAAGCGACUUUGCCACUAGUGUGUGAUUCUGUGCACGGUCGUGGGCGCCUCUGUUCCAGUGUGCCUGCUAUUGGCCCUGCUUCCCGUGGGCCUCGCCUCCCAGGCCUGUAUCCCCACGUAGAGCAUUCGCACAGCGGGGUUGCACGUUGGUGGCCACAGAGGCCUCUGGUCCCCACGCUCUGAAUGUGCUGUCCCAGAGGGCUGUUUUCCUCAUGCUCUUUAUUUCUUCACAUAAGUAACACUUGUUGCUAAAAACGGUGCUGCUGACAUUUCCUGGCGGACUCGGGCUGUGUUCUCUGGGAGGUGCCGAGUGCCCAACACAGCGGUUCCCUGGGGUCACUCGUGUGUCUGCAGGAUCCAGUGUGUUCAUCACUGUUCUGUCUGGGGACAUGGCCAUUUGACUAACAUGAAAUGAUCCUGGAAGGUCCGCGUGGAGGCAGGCAUGUGCCUGUCCUGCUUCCUCCAGUGGUUGGUUCUUGGGAUUGUGUUUUUAAAGAGGCCCUCAGUGAGACCCUGGAGGUUUUGUUCUAACAGAUUCUUGAUGACACGGGUCGGGGGGUGCACAGUGUCUGGCCCGGGGUGUGUGACCCUGAGCAGACGGUCCUGGCCUCGCUGUGUGGGCCGGGGGUUCACUGAAUGCUAGAGCUUGCUGGGCUGCAGGCCCUCCCCAUUCACAGCCCCGUUGGUGCAGAUCUGAAGUGAAGGCAAGUCGCCGCUACAGAAUCCUGAUAAAUACUCAAGUUGUUCCUGAGAUGGGGUUGGGAGCCCCAGUUCCCUGUUGAGGGGCUGCCCUUCCAGUAGGUGCCUGUAGGGGGCAGGUGUCUCAGAGGCUCCAGCUGCAUGGAGGGGGCUUCCUGGACGCCUGCCCCCCUUCUCACCAGAGGGAAGCCCCGGGGGCAGGAAGGGGUCCCAGUGGAUUCUUGAGGCCAGCAGAGAAGAGAGAAAGGAAGGCUUCUGACUAGGGCUUCUAAUUUCCUGGGCCAGGGAGUUGUCCCUCUUGGUGGGUUUGGGGUUGGCAGAUUGCCCUGGGCUUCCUGGGAGUACGGCCCUGCUGACCUUGAUGCUGUGUUCUGUCCUCAAGCCUUUGGAGGCCUUUCAGAAGCUCCAGUCCUUUCCUGGGGCGCGGCUGGCUGUCCCAUCUCAGGACCGUGGACCUGGGUUCAGCAGGGCAGCGGUGGUCUUCCUCAGCUUUGCCCACCCCCACAGCUGUGUCUGGACUGGCCCCGGUGGCCCAGCCUGCAGGGCGGGUGACUGGCGCUUGGGCAUUUCUGAGCUGAGCUGCCUUUGAGGAUCUUCCUUCCCCAGAGGGGACUUGGGUCACCCCAUAAGAAUUCUUGUUCUGUGUCUUAUGUUGCCAUUUGAUCAAGCCUAAAAUCGGAAGACUAGAUUACAGGGUUCAAACAGAUGAACAGGUUCUCUAGGUGUGGCCCACUCUUGGGGUUUUGGGUUCACAUCCGAGGCCCGGAAGUGGAAUUAGGCAUGGCCGCGUUUGGGGACAGCAGGUGUUGAUACCCCACCGGUGUGUCCUCGGGGCUGUUCGCCCAGCGUCUCUGAAAUAGGCGUCCUCUGAGGGAAGCAUGAGCAGCGUUUGCUCCGACCAGGGCCUGACCCAGCCGCCGGGAGCGUGUUAACGCUGUGGUGGGUAUAAGGGGGCCCAGGGCUCCUGCCCCAAGGUGAGGCUUCUGGCUUCCCCUGGUUGCUGAGAGGGAACACUUAGGGCCUGUAGGGUGGUGGCCCCUGGGCUCCUGCCCCCAUCCCUGGGAGCUGUGAGGCUGCUUGGUGCCAAAGCCCCAUCGUGCCCAGGUGCCACCUCACCCAUCCCCUCGCCUCCCCUGCCCCUCCCCCGCUGGAGUUGCUUCCCCUCAGGGACCCUGCUUCUGUCCUCAGUGUUCUGAGCCUGUCUCACCCGGGUCUGUCCUGUGUUCGGCUGGUGACAUAUGUGAGGAAGCGAGGCUUGAGCUGUGCUCGCCCGUCCUUGGCAAGAGCCUCUGUCCCGCCGGGACUGGCAGAGGCCCAGAGGGGCAGGGGUGGGGUGGGUGUCCGCAGCAGAUCCCUGCCUCGUCGCGGCUGAGUGAGGGUGUGGGGUGUGGGGGCUCCACUGGUGAACCCGUGACCUUGGAGAGUGCGCGUCUGCUCCGUCACGUGGAUUUCUGUCGGCACCUUUCCCUUGCUCUGGAAACGGCCCAUCUGCUCAUCUCCCUCGUUUGCCUUGAGCUGACAUCUCUACCUUCCCUCCAUCUUCCUUCGUGGAAACAUCUCCACUUGGAGUCAGGGUUCUGCAGGUGGGCUCCACGGGCAGAGGCCUUGCUCUGUGCCAGCCCCGGCUCCCUCCAUCCCUCCUGGGACAGCAUGCUGUGCUUCCCCUGGGGCCCCAGCGUCCGUGUCCACAGGAGGCACUGUUGAAGUCAGUGUGUCUCGUCCUCUCUCCAGAGGUGAACACGUCUAGCUCAGCCUCUGUGUCUCGCACUGAGGAGAGCGUUGUGGUUGAAGUUAAACCUGGUGUCUGGAAAGUUGCCCUGAAGCAGAACUAGACUUGUGUGCCUCAGCUCCCAGGAUUACAGCAGCUCUGCAGAAGGACAGGUGCCCAGAGUCCCGAAAGGGCAGCUCUUCGAGGUGCUCCCAGACCCUCAGGCCUCUGUCCACCUCUGCUGUUUGCAUUUCAGCUUUGCAGAGAAGACAGAUCCAUUGUGCCUGCUUGGUGUCUUUGCUCCUUUCCCAUCUCUCUCUCUCGGGAUGGUCUCUCCCAUCCUGCAUCCUACGUGUUUGCCCUUGGGUUUCAUUGGGCCUACGCACUGAUGUUUCCCCAACAUUCUUAAAGCGCGCGCUGUACUGGCAGGGUCUGAGCUGUCGUCUGAUGGUGAAGACCCCAGAGUGCUUCAGGGUGAUCCUUUCUUGUGCCUCCUGUGGUGUGACACACAGCACCAGGUCCCUCCCUAGGCCCUCCCACCCUCCAGGUGCCCCCUGAUCUGUGCUGGCCUCGCAGCUGUGGGGGGGGGUCGGGCGGACGGACGGACUCGCGUGCUGCCGUCACCUGUCGCAGGUGAGAGCUUUGAAGACGCGUGCCUUCUGAAGGCCGGGGGCUAGGAGCGGACAGCACAAGCGGGAGCUGGGAGGGCAUGGUGGCUCCUCGCCCUCAGACCGUGCUGCCCAGCGGGGCGGGGGCGGGGGGCCUCACUCACGUCCGCGUCGUGCCGCAGGAGCCAGAGUGCGUCACUGUGGCUUCAUCCCCAUCUCCUCAGCUUCUGGAAGCAUCUUGGGGUUCCCUUGGAGGUUGAAGCUUCACCAGGAGCCCCCCCCCACCGAACCCAGGGUACUUUCGGACGGGGUGCUGAGUGGAGUGGGCGCCCCCAUGCCACAUCUCUGCCCCCACCCCUCUAGGAACCCGGGUUCCCAGCCCGCUCAAGGGCACUCCUUUCUCGGGAGGCUGCGGCCUGCCGGUGAGACUGUCUGCUGCUGUGCUGUCCCUGGCGGCCCCGUCCUGCCUUCGGGGGUUGGCUGGCCCUUCACUAAACACAGGCGGCCAGGCUGCUGGCUGGUCCAGGCCUGUGUGGUGGGGCAUCUCACUGCCCUCUGCUGACCUUCACAUUCUGUCCCUGUCCUCGCGUGGUUUCCAGGGGGCCCUGGGUCCCUGUGACUUGGAGCGGUGGGUGGGUUUGUGGAUUCAUCUUGAAGGGCUCUUAGCUUGCACCCUUCGCACCUGGCCCAGCCCGGGCCUUGCGUCGCAGCUGUUGGCCAGAAGGUAGUCCAAAAGGGCGUCUACGUCUGCUUUCCUCAUCUGCUAAUGAGGGUUAGGGUUUGAUCCCCGCACUAGGCAUUUUUUCCUCCAUGACAUGAAUCCUACUUUCAUUUGUUGCUCUUCAUAAAUCACUGAGGCUUAAGUAAAGGAGGGACAGUUUUGCAAGGCCCUAGGAGCAGUGCGGAAGAGCGCCUGGUGGCCAAGGGCGGCCCCUGGGAGCCACAGCCUGCAUGGGAGCUGCAUCCCCCUGGGUGGCAGGUCUGUCUCUGAGGACACGCCAGAGCUCCGCAAUCUUCAUCCUGCCGGUGGGAGUGCGGGCAGCAGGUCCACGGGCUGUCCUGACCUCCCUGCACCGACACGGGGCCUGCCCUAAGCCAUUUCUUCGCGCUGGACUUUGAUGCCAAGUGCGUGAAGGACCGAGGGCUGCACGGCUUGCGUGUGGCUGCACAGACGCCCUGGGCGGGUGGAGCAGGGGGGUGGCGGGCCGACAGCAGGCCCAGCCCUGGGAACGCACGCAGCGAGUGGGACGCUCAGCUGAAAAAUGCCAGACUCAAAAGCACGUCCCGGCUAAUGGUCACGUGUUUUUUCAACUUAGAACUCUUCCACAGACCACUAGAGUACAUUCUAGACGCUCUCUUCGCUAUCUGGAAAGGCAGGAGAUGUAUCACUCAGAAACCGUCAGUCAGCUAGUCUGUGUCUCUUAAAUAGAAUUAACGAGAUGCUUAUCCCCAGCUUUCUGGAAAGACCUUUGAGGACCAUGGGCCGUGUCUUUAGGGCCUUUGUCCCUGUCUCUUGAGGGUGGUAGACCCUAUCCCUGGAGCCUGAGUGAAGACCGGGCCCCUGGGGUUGGGUGGGGGUAGGCCGCACGCUUCUGCCGCGGGGCCUGUGUGUCCCCUGCAGGCCCUGGAGCACCCUCACUCGCUCUUUUCAGUUAACCUGGGGCUUCCCCCCUCAGUGCCCCAUUCUUGCUGUUGAAGUUGCCUUUCUCGCUGGUUCCUAGGUGUUUCGGUAGUGCUGUCACUGAGCCAGACUUGGGGGCGCUGGCUUUGUCUUUGCUGAAGAGCUCGUGCUCAGUGCGAGUGGUCACCAAGUUGCUGCGGGAUGUGUCAAAGCAGCGGGUGAGGGAAGGCGAGCGAAGGUUGCAGACACCACGCUCUGCUUUCUGGAAAGGGGUUGGUCUGAAGGCUGCUGGCUGAGGUGACCGUGUAUAGAUGCUGGGCAGGGCCAGUCUGCGGGGCUUGAGGCGCGCGCCGCCUCCGCCGGCUUGUCUUCGGCAGGACCCAGGGGGCGGGCACGGCCCACUCCCCGGAACUGCCUCACCCCUCCAUCCCUUCAACACAGCCGCUGGGGAGGGGCCGGCAGCUCUGCUGGUGCGCACUCGAGGUGCUGAGCUGGGCGGGGGGCGGGGGCCUCCUAGGUUUGUUCCUUGACUCCGGC